GGUUAAGCGACUAAGCGUACACGGUGGAUGCCCUGGCAGUCAGAGGCGAUGAAGGACGUGCUAAUCUGCGAUAAGCGUCGGUAAGGUGAUAUGAACCGUUAUAACCGGCGAUUUCCGAAUGGGGAAACCCAGUGUGUUUCGACACACUAUCAUUAACUGAAUCCAUAGGUUAAUGAGGCGAACCGGGGGAACUGAAACAUCUAAGUACCCCGAGGAAAAGAAAUCAACCGAGAUUCCCCCAGUAGCGGCGAGCGAACGGGGAGCAGCCCAGAGCCUGAAUCAGUGUGUGUGUUAGUGGAAGCGUCUGGAAAGGCGCGCGAUACAGGGUGACAGCCCCGUACACAAAAAUACACAUA
rnacentral:rRNA from 1 species